AUUGAACGCUGGCGGCAUGCCUUACACAUGCAAGUCGAACGGUAACAGGUCUUCGGACGCUGACGAGUGGCGAACGGGUGAGUAAUACAUCGGAACGUGCCCAGUCGUGGGGGAUAACUACUCGAAAGAGUAGCUAAUACCGCAUACGAUCUGAGGAUGAAAGCGGGGGACCUUCGGGCCUCGCGCGAUUGGAGCGGCCGAUGGCAGAUUAGGUAGUUGGUGGGAUAAAAGCUUACCAAGCCGACGAUCUGUAGCUGGUCUGAGAGGACGACCAGCCACACUGGGACUGGGACACGGCCCAGACUCCUACGGGAGGCAGCAGUGGGGAAUUUUGGACAAUGGGCGAAAGCCUGAUCCAGCAAUGCCGCGUGCAGGAUGAAGGCCUUCGGGUUGUAAACUGCUUUUGUACGGAACGAAAAAGCUUCUCCUAAUACGAGAGGCCCAUGACGGUACCGUAAGAAUAAGCACCGGCUAACUACGUGCCAGCAGCCGCAGUAAAAC
rnacentral:rRNA from 1 species